UACGAAGGGUGCGAGCGUUAUUCGGAAUCAUUGGGCGUAAAGGGUGCGUAGGCGGCGUACUAAGUCAACUGUUAAAUUCCCUGGCUUAACCAGGGGCCAGCAGUAGAAACUGGUAUGCUUGAGGGUGGAAGAGAGAAGUGGAAUUCUCGGAGUAGCGGUAAAAUGCGUAGAUCUCGAGAGGAACACCGAUGGCGAAGGCAGCUUCUUGGUCCAUUCCUGACGCUGAGGCACGAAAGCGUGGGGAGCAAACAGG
rnacentral:rRNA from 1 species